GUAGGUGAACCUGCGGAAGGAUCAUUACCGAGUUUGGGUCCCUUGUGGGCUCGGCCUCCAAACCCUUUGUCUACCUUACCUCUUGUUGCUUCGGCGGGCCCGUCUUUAAUCGGACCGCCAGAGGGCUUUACCGUCCUCUGGCCUGCGCUCGUCGGUGGCCAUCAUUAAAUUAUUGUUUAAAACGUGUCGUCUGAAGUAAUAAACAAAAUAAGUAAAAACUUUCAACAACGGAUCUCUUGGUUCUG
rnacentral:misc_RNA from 1 species